GACAGAGGCCUCAAGCGUUAGGCGGAAUCACUGGGCUUAAAGCGUGUGUAGGCGGAUCGUUAAGUGUCUUGUGGAAUCCCACGGCUCACCCGUGGAACUGCUGGGCAUACUGGCGAUCUUGGGCCAACUAGGGGCAACUGGAACAAGCGGUGGAGCGGUGAAAUGCGUAGAUAUCGCUUGGAACGCCGAAGGUGAAAACAGGUUGCUGGGGUUGUGCCGACGCUGAGACACGAAAGCCAGGGGAGCAAACGGG
rnacentral:rRNA from 1 species